rnacentral:rRNA from 1 species
GACGAACGCUGGCGGCGUGCGUAACACAUGCAAGUCGAACGAGAGAGUGAGAGAAGCUUGCUUUUCUUACGAUCGAGUGGCAAACGGGUGAGUAACGCGUAAACAACCUGCCCCGCAGAUGGGGACAACAGCUGGAAACGGCUGCUAAUACCGAAUACGCUCCUCUUAGCGCAUGGUAAGAGGAAGAAAGGGUGGCCUCUGGAACAAGCUACCGCUGUGGGAGGGGUUUGCGUCUGAUUAGCUGGUUGGAGGGGUAACGGCCCACCAAGGCGACGAUCAGUAGCCGGUCUGAGAGGAUGAACGGCCACAUUGGAACUGAGACACGGUCCAGACUCCUACGGGAGGCAGCAGUGGGGAAUCUUCCGCAAUGGGCGAAAGCCUGACGGAGCAACGCCGCGUGAGUGAAGACGGCCUUCGGGUUGUAAAGCUCUGUUAUAGGGGACGAACGGCCGGGUAGCGAAGAGGUACCCGGC